AAGGAAGAAGUAAUAAAAUAUAAUAUAUUUUAUUAUUGACGUUACUUAUAAAAGAAGCACCGGCUAACUCCGUGCCAGCAGCCGCGGUAAUACGGAGGGUGCUAGCGUUAAUCGGAAUUACUGGGCGUAAAGAGCACGUAGGCGGUUUAUUAAGUCAGAUGUGAAAUCCCUAAGCUUAACUUAGGAACUGCAUUUGAAACUAAUUUACUUGAGUAUCAUAGAGGGGAGUAGAAUUCCAGGUGUAGCGGUGAAAUGCGUAGAUAUCUGGAGGAAUACCAGUGGCGAAGGCGACUCCCUGGAUGAAUGCUGACGCUCAGGUGCGAAAGCAUGGGUAGCAAACAGGAUUAGAUACCCUGGUAGUCCAUGCUGUAAACGAUGUCGACUUGGAGGUUGUAGGCUUGUCUUGUAGCUUCCGUAGCUAACGCGUUAAGUCGACCGCCUGGGGAGUACGACCGCAAGGUUAAAACUCAAAUGAAUUGACGGGGGCCCGCACAAGCGGUGGAGCAUGUGGUUUAAUUCGAUGCAACGCGAAAAACCUUACCUGGUCUUGACAUCCAUGGAAUUUAAUAGAGAUAUUUUAGUGCCUUCGGGAACCAUGAGACAGGUGCUGCAUGGCUGUCGUCAGCUCGUGUUGUGAAAUGUUGGGUUAAGUCCCGCAACGAGCGCAACCCUUGUCCUUUGUUGCCAACGGUUCGGCCGGGAACUCAAAGGAGACUGCUGGUGAUAAGCCGGAGGAAGGUGGGGAUGACGUCAAGUCAUCAUGGCCCUUACGACCAGGGCUACACACGUGCUACAAUGGUAUAUACAAAGGGAAGCAUCCUCGCAAGAGUAAGCGGAUCUCAUAAAAUAUAUCUUAGUUCGGAUUGGAGUCUGCAACUCGACUCUAUGAAGUCGGAAUCGCUAGUAAUCGUASAUCAGAAUGCUACGGUGAAUACGUUCCCGGGCCUUGU
rnacentral:rRNA from 1 species